UACGGGGGGGGCAAGCGUUGUUCGGAAUUACUGGGCGUAAAGGGCUCGUAGGCGGCCAACUAAGUCAGACGUGAAAUCCCUAGGCUCAACCUAGGAACUGCGUCUGAUACUGGAUGGCUUGAAUCCGGGAGAGGGAUGCAGAAUUCCAGGUGUAGCGGUGAAAUGCAUAGAUAUCUGGAGGAAUACCGGUGGCGAAGGCGGCAUCCUGGACCGACAUUGACGCUGAUGAGCGAAAGCUAGGGGAGCAAACGGG
rnacentral:rRNA from 1 species